rnacentral:misc_RNA from 1 species
AACGCACCUUGCGCUCCCUAGUAUUCUGGGGAGCAUGUCUGUUUGAGUGUCAUGAACUCUUCAACCCACCAGUUUCUUGUAGACUGGCUGGUGUUUGGAUUUUGAACGUUGCUGGUCUUCGGACGUAGCUCGUUCGUAAUACAUUAGCAUCUCUAAUUCGAAUUCGGAUUGACUCAGUGUAAUAGACUAUUCGCUGAGGACACUUUUAUUAGUGGCCGAACAAGAUAAUUGUAGAAGCUUCAAACCUCUAUAGUCAAUUUUAGAUUAGACCUCAAAUCAGGCAGGAUUACCCGCUGAACUUAA